rnacentral:sRNA from 1 species
CAAGCCCGAAGUCUCGAAAAUCUCUUCCCAGACACCAGGCGACACACAAUGGUGUUCCUGGACGAAGCGAAGAAAUCCGGCCGUUCCGCUGUUGUCGUUAACUCACAUCGGGCUAUGCUCUAUCUCUCCUCGGAUUGCGAAAUUCCGCCUAGAAAGGUUUAACGAGCCAUGAAACAAUGGCUCUCUCGGAGAACAAAGUUUAUCUAUUUAACUAUGCUGCUUGCAAGCUGAUGAAGCCACACGCGUCUAGCUUGCCGUCCAUGUUGCGCAGCACCUCGUCCAAGCUGAAGAAACAGACGUUUCCCUCGAUCAAAAAUUACCAUUGAGUGGAAAAACCACAGAAAAUCUUUUAACUCGCCGUUUGGGAAUCGCUAAUUUAUGCGAAGGUGACGCUGGACCCUUCGUUCACGUCGCAUUUUGUCCCACGCCCCUUAUCAAUUUCUCAGUAGCCAAGGAGCUGCAUCCGAGACAAUUCGGUAUAUAACUGCCGUGUACAGAGUGCAUUCAGUCAUCCAAGUCCCAGAUGCACUUCGCGCGCAUGUAUGUAUUUUAUCUUUGGAGGGUUUUGAGAAGGCGAAACUAGCUAUGAUGCGCCAUUGCUCACAGCGAUGCGACCAAGGAUGGGAUCCACGAAAGAACAACCCCAAUUUGUCUGCAAAUGGUUUCCGCAAGUACCUUGUAG